UUUUAGUUAAAUCAUUCUCUGAGCUGUCUGCAUUUGGAUGUCAUGGUCUGGGUCUGCCCUACCAGCUUUUUUCAUCACCUAGUAGGCACAUAAUAGGUACAUUCAAUAUGUUUACUGAAUGAAUCAAUAGAGGUAAGAAGAAACGAGCCAGAAUCCAGUCUGUCCAUUUGGAAUCUAUCAAGAAUGAGGAAUAUAAAGCUCAGAAAAGUUCAAUAACUUGCCCAGGAUCACACAGCAAGUAAAGGUGAAGACUAGAUUUAAAUACAAGCCAAUUCUGACCUUUAACCUUUAUGCUUGACUGCCAAUCAGUGGCUGAGAAUUCUGGCCCCAGCUAAACAAAAGUUACACACUCAUCCUGCCAGCAUCCAACCCAAAAGCUGGUAGCUUCUCUUCUGCUUGUCUCUCAUGCUACUGCUGUUGUAGCAUCUAUGAUUGCUGUGCUGAGCCCUCAAGAACAUGGAGCAGAAGCAGGAUAAAAAUCUUCUGAUCUCUAGUCAGAAUCAUGUCAGCCAAGUCAAUCUAUUCUUCAUAAACCAAGAGUAAUCAUAGUCACAAACGUUGCAAUAAUAAAAAUGCCUUAUUAGUACAUAGAA
rnacentral:lncRNA from 1 species